rnacentral:rRNA from 1 species
GACGAACGCUGGCGGCGUGCUUAACACAUGCAAGUCGAACGGAAAGGCCCUGCUUGCCGGGUACUCGAGUGGCGAACGGGUGAGUAACACGUGGGUGAUCUGCCCUUCACUUCGGGAUAAGCCUGGGAAACUGGGUCUAAUACCGGAUAGGAGCCAGUUUUAGUGUGAUGGUUGGAAAGUUUUUUCGGUGUAGGAUGAGCUCGCGGCCUAUCAGCGUGUGGGUGGGGUAAUGGCCUACCAAGGCGGCGACGGGUAGCCGGCCUGAGAGGGUGGACGGCCACAUUGGGACUGAGAGACGGCCCAGACUCCUACGGGAGGCAGCAGGGGGGAAGAGUGCACAAUGGGCGCAAGCCUGAUGCAGCGACGCCGCGUGGGGGAUGACGGCCUUCGGGUUGGAAACUCCUUUCGCUAGGGACGAAGCUUUUUGUGACGGUACCUAGAUAAGAAGCACCGGCUAACUACGUG